GCUCCUUGAAGCAAGGCCAAGUCACAGACUGCAGUAGAGGAGUUUUUGCUUCCUACCUGGCCUGACAGGAAGCAGUUUGGAGCUCCUUGUGCACUCUUCCUACAGAAGUAUAAAAGAUACAAAAGCUCCUCUAAUGCAUUCCACGGCUCGGCCACGCUUCAUGCAGUGACUGGCAGCAGCACUGUAUCCUGGCCUCCCUUGCCUGUGCGUCACUGUGUUUCUAUGUCUAUGUGUGUGCAAGUGUGUGUGUUUGUGUGUAUGAGAGUAUGUACAUGUGUUAGUUUAUCAGUGUAUAUAUGUGUGCGUCUAUCAGAAUGUAUAUGUGUAUUAGUAUGUGUGGAAACAUGGAUGCAAAAUAAG